GAUGAACGCUAGCUACAGGCUUAACACAUGCAAGUCGAGGGGAAACGACAGAGGAAGCUUGCUUCCUUUGGGCGUCGACCGGCGCACGGGUGAGUAACGCGUAUCCAACCUUCCCGCAAGUAAGGGAUAACCCGUAGAAAUGCGGCCUAAUACCUUAUGUUUUCCUUAGAGGGCAUCUGAUGAGGAACAAAGAUCCGUCGCUUGCGGAUGGGGAUGCGUCUGAUUAGUUAGUCGGCGGGGUAACGGCCCACCGAGACGACGAUCAGUAGGGGUUCUGAGAGGAAAGUCCCCCACAUUGGAACUGAGACACGGUCCAAACUCCUACGAGAGGCAGCAGUGAGGAAUAUUGGUCAAUGGGCGAAGCCUGAACCAGCCAAGUAGCGUGCAGGACGACGGCCCCUAUGGGGUUGUAAACUGCUUUUUAUGCGGGGAUAAAGUGGGCCAGCGUGGCCUUUUGCAGGUACCGCAUGAAUAAGGACCGGCUAAUUCCGUG
rnacentral:rRNA from 1 species